UUAAUCGCUGACUACUUGACUAGUGAAUACAUAGCUAGCAAGAGGUAGACGCAGUGAACUGAAACAUCUUAGUAGCUGCAGGAAGAGAAAGAAAAAUCGAUUCCCUGAGUAGCGGCGAGCGAAAGGGGAAGAGCCCAAACCAGUAAGCUUGCUUACUGGGGUUGUAGGACUGAACAAUAGAGUUACCAAAGUGCGACGUAGUCGCAACAGUUG
rnacentral:rRNA from 1 species